UAUGUUAGCUUGCUAAUAUAUUUAGUAGCAAAUGGGUGAGUAACACGUACCUAACCUACCUUUUGGAUCGGGAUAACUAUUGGAAACAGCAGCUAAUACCGGAUAAAAUAAAAAAAUGCAUGUUUUUUUAUUAAAAGGAGCCUUUAAAGCUCCACCAAAAAAUGGGGGUGCGCAACAUUAGUUAGUUGGUAGGGUAAAGGCCUACCAAGACGAUGAUGUUUAGCGGGGCCAAGAGGCUGUACCGCCACACUGGGAUUGAGAUACGGCCCAGACUCCUACGGGAGGCAGCAGUAAGGAAUAUUCCACAAUGAGCGAAAGCUUGAUGGAGCGACACAGAGUGCAG
rnacentral:rRNA from 1 species